rnacentral:tRNA from 1 species
GUAGAUCCUAAAUCUAAAGCAGUACCCCUUUGCUACCAUAA